GCAAACUUGGUCAUUUAGAGGAAGUAAAAGUCGUAACAAGGUUUCCGUAGGUGAACCUGCGGAAGGAUCAUUAUUGAAUUGCAACGGGGGCGCUUGGUUCGGCCAGCACCGGUGGCGACGCCGUGUUGCGGCUGGCCAGCGCCCUCUUCCAAACCCAAACCCCUGUGAACCUUUGGGAGGGAGCGCCGCGUCGCGGAGUGCCCUCCCGUUUCGUAACCAACUCUGAUGUCUAUUUGAAUGUGCGAUUCGGGGCAGCCCCGAUGUCAAAUUGAAAACAACUUUCAACAACGGAUCUCUUGGCUCUCGCAUCGAUGAAGAACGCAGC
rnacentral:misc_RNA from 1 species